rnacentral:rRNA from 1 species
UGGGGAAUUUUGGACAAUGGGCGAAAGCCUGAUCCAGCAAUGCCGCGUGAGUGAAGAAGGCCUUCGGGUUGUAAAGCUCUUUUGUCAGGGAAGAAACGGUGAGGGCUAAUAUCCCUUGCUAAUGACGGUACCUGAAGAAUAAGCACCGGCUAACUACGUGCCAGCAGCCGCGGGAAUAAGUAGGGUGCAAGCGUUAAUCGGAAUUACUGGGCGUAAAGCGUGCGCAGGCGGUUUUGUAAGUCUGAUGUGAAAUCCCCGGGCUCAACCUGGGAAUUGCAUUGGAGACUGCAAGGCUAGAAUCUGGCAGAGGGGGGUAGAAUUCCACGUGUAGCAGUGAAAUGCGUAGAUAUGUGGAGGAACACCGAUGGCGAAGGCAGCCCCCUGGGUCAAGAUUGACGCUCAUGCACGAAAGCGUGGGGAGCAAACA